rnacentral:lncRNA from 1 species
AAGUGAGCAAAAGAACAGAGUGACACAAUGACAUAGAUCGAGUGGCAUUCGAUAAAGUUAAAGUGAAAUGACACUAGAGAUAGUGUGAGGAAAAGAACCAAUGUAAUGUAAAGAAUGAUGAAAGUGACAAGUUAAAGUAAUGUGGGGAGUAAAGAACAUGAAAUGCUAGAGGUAGCCGAAAGUAAAGAACGUAAAGAAAAUAAUUGAUAGAGUUAGCAAAAGUAAUGAAUGGUAAAGAACAACGAUUGCUAGAGUUAGCAAAGAUAAAGAAAUGUAAAGAAUGUGAUUGCAUGAGUUUGCAACAUAAAGUGAUGAAAGAACACUAGAGCUAGUGUAAAGUCAAGAUUGAACUAU